GCAUUAAACCAAGCUCAGGGCCCCUGAGUGCGGGGCUCUGUACAAUUGCACGAGUUGCUCACCUGUGAAGCUGGCCCUGCGGCCGUGUGUGCCUGUGAGCUUAUACCUUCGCAUACGUGCGUCCUUGUAUUUAUAGCAUGUGAGCUCAGCCCGAUGGCAUCGCAAUUUGUAUGCAUUUCACCUGCUUGCCACCAAUGAGAGCGUAUGUGUAAAACCUCCUCCCUUCCCCAGAAAAGUAAAUCACGCAGACUUCUUUCCUAUAGAUUUGGAUUGCCUCUAGUCAUGAAUGAGUCUUCCAGACAGGGAAAUUGAUACGGAAAUCUGUGGAAUAGCUUGUUUGUGGUGGGAGGAAAAUCAAGGACAUAUUGUUAACGUGUUUUCACCUACUUUUACUGCACACCUGUAAUGCCUAGUUCGGUGGUUUAGAGAAUAUGGAGUGUUUCUGGGCUUUCUUAUAAGGCAGAGGCUCCAUACAAGGUUGCUGAUGAUUGUUCUAAAUUCCCAUUGUUUUCUUGGCUUUUCUCCCUUGGUUUAUGUGUCGUCUGGAAACUGAUUUGUAGUUGGUGAGGUAACAUACGUGGAGCUCUUAAUGGACGCUGAAGGAAAGUCAAGGGGAUGUGCUGUUGUUGAAUUCAAGAUGGAAGAGAGCAUGAAAAAAGCUGCGGAAGUCCUAAACAAGCAUAGUCUGAGCGGAAGACCACUGAAAGUCAAAGAAGAUCCUGAUGGUGAACAUGCCAGGAGAGCAAUGCAAAAGGUGAUGGCUA
rnacentral:lncRNA from 10 species